AACAAUAUAUACCAUUGUUUUCAGUGUAUUUAUAUUUACUAAUGCAUAUAACCAUACAAUACAUUAGUUAUCUAUUGUAUAUAUAAUUAUUAUGUGUGUGUGUGUGUGAUGUCUGUAUAUAUACGAUGUGUACAUACUGAUAUGUGUGUAUGUGUAAAGUGCAUAACUGUAUAUAUACAGUGCAUUAGUAUAUUCAUUUUUAUUUACAUUGAUAUAUAUAACGAUAUAUACACUAUUUAUCAGUUUAUACAGUUAUUAGUAUAAAUGUACAUUGAUUUAUAUACUACACACACACUCACACUCACACUCACGCACAAUCAUACUCCCACCCACACUCUCUCACACACACACUCACACUCACACUCACAAUCACACUCACACUCAUACACACACACGCACACUCAUAUUCACACUAACACUCACACUCACACUAACACUCACUCACACACUCACACUCACACAGACUGACACACUCACACAUUCACACACUCACACGCACACUCACACUCACAGCCACACUCACACACUCUCACAUAUACUCACACACUCACACUCACACUCACACUCACACACUCACACACUCACACACUCACACUCACACUCACACUCCCACUCCCAGUCACACUCACACUCACACUCACACUCACCCUCACACAGACACACUCACAACUCACUCACACUCACAAAAACUAGCACUGACACUGACACUCACGAAUAUGUAUACUAUACAUGCGUGGUGUGUAUGGAUUGAUGUGUGUAUAUUUACGAUAUGUAUAUGCAUAUCUUUUUGCGUAUAUGUAUACAGUUGCUUGUUAUCAGUUAUAUGCAAUUAUCGAUGUAUAUAUACACUGAUAUGCGCACGCACAUGUACCGUUACGCAUGGAUAAGUGCAUAUAUAAUGUGUAUGUAUACACUAAUGCAUGCAUUCUAUAUACACUUACAUAUUUGACCAUAUUGACACUUAUCAGUAGUUUAUAUGUAUAUAUGAUGUGCAUAUAAAUGAUAUGUAUUUACUGAUAUGUUUAUGUGUGUAUGUAUAAACUUGCUAUCAGUUAUAUAUGCACUGAUAUGCGACACACAUGUGCACGCUCACCCAUUGAUAGUGCAUAUAUUUAUUUCUGUGUACACUGAUAUAUAUGACCAUAUAUAACACUUAUUAUCAGUUUAUACACUUAUUAGUGUAUAUAUACAAUGAAAUGUAUAUACACACAUUCAUAUGCAUAUGUAUAAAGGGUUUAUAUGUACACGUAUGUAAAAGACCAUGUAUAUACUUAUUAUCAGUGAUAUAUACAGUUGUUCGCUCAAUUUGUGUACGAAUUGAUGUAUAGCAAUAUAGACCAUUGUUUUCAGUAUAUAUAUACAUACUGAUGCAUAUAACCAUAUAAUACAUUAGUUAUCUGUUAUAUGUAUAGUUAUUAGUGUGUAAAAAAUACAUUGAUAUGUGUGUAUGUAUGCGUGUCAUGUCUAUAUAUAUACGCUGUGUAUAUACUGAUAUGUGUGUAUGUUUAAAGUGCGUAACUGUAUAUAUACAGUACAUUAAUAUAUACAUUAGUAUAUAUGACUAUAUAUACAGUAUUUAUCAGUUUAUACAGUUAUUAACAUAUAUGUAUACUACACACACACUCGCACUCACACUCACCCACACACAUACACUGGCGCUUACACUCACACUCACACUCAC
rnacentral:lncRNA from 1 species